AAAUUGAAGAGUUUGAUCAUGGCUCAGAUUGAACGCUGGCGGCAGGCCUAACACAUGCAAGUCGAGCGGAAACGAGUUAUCUGAACCUUCGGAGGACGAUAACGGCGUCGAGCGGCGGACGGGUGAGUAAUGCCUAGGAAAUUGCCCUGAUGUGGGGGAUAACCAUUGGAAACGAUGGCUAAUACCGCAUGAUGCCUACGGGCCAAAGAGGGGGACCUUCGGGCCUCUCGCGUCAGGAUAUGCCUAGGUGGGAUUAGCUAGUUGGUGAGGUAAGGGCUCACCAAGGCGACGAUCCCUAGCUGGUCUGAGAGGAUGAUCAGCCACACUGGAACUGAGACACGGUCCAGACUCCUACGGGAGGCAGCAGUGGGGAAUAUUGCACAAUGGGCGCAAGCCUGAUGCAGCCAUGCCGCGUGUGUGAAGAAGGCCUUCGGGUUGUAAAGCACUUUCAGUCGUGAGGAAGGCGGUGUAGUUAA
rnacentral:rRNA from 1 species